GAUAUAAGUAGCCCUUAUAGCAGUGGAGGGACUGAACCUUAAACCUUUCUGAUAUUAAUGACAUGGCUGGAGAACCUCAGCCCCCUGAACUUGGAUCCUGGCAGAUUUCUUUAUCAAAUUUGGCUUGGAGCUGUGAAGUCAUUAAUUGAAAACACUGAAGGCAGAAGGUGUCUGGGGAUUACUGAAUACUAAAUUCUCUAGAUUCAUGGUGUUUGAUAUUAGAAGAGAUCCAAUACUGUUUUCUGGCAGGAGAGGAAAAACAACUUAGAACCAGCAAUUUAAGAACUGCUGCCACCAGAUUGGUCUAAUCCAGUUCCAGCUGCUCUACCGUGCCUAUGCGUGAGCAAGGGAGCUCAGCAGGGAAAGAGAAUAAAGCAUCCCGGUUCAGCCAGCAGCAGGACCUGGAGGAAUAUUCAAGCUCACGGGGGGAAAUAAAGUCUUCGUUAAAGAAAAGAAGUGUCUGCCAGCUAGGUGAUCACCUUUUCAAAAGGCAAAACAAGACACAUGGAGGAGCCCUGCCCCCCCCCCCCCGUCGGCCCCCGCCCCUGCCCCUCCUUUUCCCCUGCACCCCCACCCCCUGCUCCUCCUCUUCUCCCCCAAAGCUUUCCCCCCCACCAGCCAGAGCCACCCAGGAAACCUGGAGCACAGGUGAGAGGGGUCAAAGGUACAUGACAAAUUGUGCAACUAUUUGCCGGAUUAUAUUUAUCCCAUGGCUCUGUGAUUUAUCCUAUUGCUACCACCACUACGUAUCGUUUGUCUGCGUAUAAAACAAUAACCGGGACCCAAGGUAUCUGAAGAGAAUAUACGGGGCCUAUAGUCCUUCAUCUUCUAUGUAUGGUCUGUAUGUACGAUACAUACUGGAACUCUCCUCAGUUUAUACAUAGCUAGUCUGGGUAAAGUCAUUUUUAUAGACUCUAAUGAUUUCAUGAUAAGUUUCAUGAAGACAUCCAGCAUUAGGGCCAGAUUUUCAAUGACUAUUCAGCUCCUUUGGGCUGCUCCUAAGAUGCAAAGAAGCCAGAUUUUGGUAGUAACUGGCUGGCGGGGGGGUGGGAGGGGAGAGAUUGCUAAAUUGGAGCUGACUUGUGACCAGCUGCCCCUCACCCACAUGGAGGGGAUGUUUCAGGGGAGAGGAGGAGUUCCACUUUGCUAUGCUGACCCUCAGCUGCUGGAGGGUAGAGCAGGACAUAGGCUGCUCUAACUCACGGUGGAGCUGGAGCCAGGGUUAAUGCAGACUGUCCUGCAGAAUCAGGGAGCUGUAAUCAUCUCGAUAAUGACCCCCAUCCUCACUGGCACCUGGCAUCGCUUGGAUUCAAGGGAGAAUCUGCCUCACAGUCUCAUCACUUCUGUAACCUUUCUGUGUGGCAUAAAUUCCUUUUGAAGUGAA